UCACCAUCUUAGGAGUGCCUUUAUGUAGUUGAAUCACUUAAUAGAUGACAGGUAUGUUUUUACAUGUGCAAUGUAUAUGAAUUAUGUAGGGAUAGGUGGGCAGUAUUUCAGUGGAGUUUUAAUUAGGAAAUUAUAAAAUGUGUUAACAUAUUUUUGUGUCAUUUUCACAGGAUUAUUCAAGAUCAGGUUGUAGCCAUUUUCAACAAGGAUCACUGAUCAAAAUUGUUCUUUUUACAAAGAGAUUUACAAGUUAAACAUGAAGGGAAAAUACUGGAAUCAUUUGGAUUCUGACAGGAUAAAAAAUACAAUAUUUCACAUUUACUUGUAAUGGAACCUUUGUAAGAUUAAUCACUUGUCAUUCACCCAGUUGGGAACAUGGAUGUUGGUUUUUCUCGUACUGCUGUUCAGACACUGUCAAGAAGCCACUGCAAAAAUAUCAAACAAAAAAUUUCUCAAUGGGAAGGAAGGGCUAAUAUAUCUAAUCCAGAAAAGUGGUGUCCAAAGGACUUUGGAGUGAGAUAUAACUGUCACCAAGCGAUCCUUCCUAAGAAAAAUCCUAUAGCUGACACAAAGAGCAAAAACUUGGAUGUAACCAGCUGUGAGAAUGUAGGUCUAGAUGUAAAUGAAGAUACCAAAAGCCAUGAUCAAAGUGAGAAUGAAAAUAAGAAACAGGAAUAUGAUGAUACACACUUCUUUAAAAAUGAAUCAGAAUCCAACUGGGUAUGUUCUCGGGUCAAAGAAAUUGAAAGCUGUAAAGAAGAUGUCUUAGAUCCAGAGACUUCAUUACCUCCAGGAAACUUCUAUACCUCACAAAUACUGUGGAAGAAAAUAGAAGCACUUCCCCCAGAUAAACUCUUAAAUUUGGCUUUAGAACAUUGUGACUCUUCAGAAAAAGAACUGAACUUCAGAGUUCUGGAUAGUUCAUAUGGAAUAACCAAGAGCUUAGAAAAUAUUUACUCUGAGCCUGAGGGGCAAGAAUGUGGACCUUCCAUAAAUCCUUUGCCAAAACCUCAUAGGACAUUCAGAUAUUUAUCUGAAUCUGGUGUUAUGCCGUAUAAAGAAAGAAAUUGUGACAAAAAAUACUGUGAAAAUAAUUCUUGUGCACAAUCUUCUUUGGCCUCUUCUCAGGAACCUGAACCAAAGAAAUAUGGUGGAAAAAUAAGAGGAAGAUCUAAAAGGAAAUCCUUUGAAUUUGAGGAUAUUCAGCACUUUCGAAAUCGGAACACACAGACGAUUCAUGAAGAACUUGGAAAAAAUUCUGGGUCAGCACUUUAUUACACACAGUCUGAGGACAAUAUCUAUGAAGAUAUCAUAUAUCCCACCAAAGAAAAUCCAUAUGAAGAUAUUCCAGUGCAGCCUUUACCUAUGUGGAGAUCCCCUUCAGCAUGGAAGCUACCACCCGCUAAAAGUGCUUUUAAAGCGCCCAAGCUUGUAUUGAAAAUAGAUGACAUAUUUGAAUCUAAAAGAGGGAAGAAGAAGGUAAAGUUACAUUCUUACACUGGAAAGGAAUUACCUCCAACAAAAGGUGAAACCAGUGGGAACGAAAGUGAUGCCGAGUAUCUGCCAAAGAAUCGCCAUAAACGCUUAGCACAACUGCAACAGUCUUCCAAGAGGAAUCCUCACUACCAGACCUUGGAGCGGGAUCUUAUUGAAUUACAGGAGCAGCAGCUGUUUGAACUUUUUGUGGUGGUGUCUCUACAGAAGAAACCAUCAGGAAUAAACUGUAUUCCCCAGGUCAUACAACAAUUCCCCGGCAAGGACGAUCAUGGCUAUAAGCAGUCCAAAGACACGGAAGAGAGGCUUAAAGUUAUCCCAAAAUUUUGUUUUCCUGAUUCAAAGGACUGGAUGCCAACCUCAGAACUCAAGAGUGAAACAUUCUCCUUUGUCUUGACUGGUGAAGAUGGAAGCCGGUGGUUUGGUUACUGUAAGAAGCUCUUGCCAGGAGGCAAAGGAAAGCGACUCCCUGAGGUAUACUGCAUGGUUAGUCGCCUAGGCUGCUUCAAUCUUUUUUCAAAGAUUCUGGAUGAAGUAGAGAAGAGAAGAGAAAUGUCUCCAGCCCUUGUUUACCCAUUCAUGCGAAGUGUCAUAGAAGCUCCUUUCCCAGCUCCUGGACGCACCAUCACAGUUAAGAGUUACCUCCCUGGGGCUGGAGAUGAGUCCAUUGAACUCUGCCGACCACUAGAUUCCCGAUUGGAACAUGUUGAUUUUGAAUGUCUCUUUAAGUGCCUGAGUGUGUGUCAUCUCAUCCGCGUCUGUGCCUCUCUCCUUUUGGAGCGUAGGGUAAUCUUUGUUGCCAACAGCCUAAGCACCCUGUCAAAAUGUGGCCAUGCUGUGGUAGCUACACUGUAUCCGUUCACCUGGCAGCAUACCUACAUCCCAGUCCUGCCAGCAUCUAUGAUUGACAUCGUCUGCUCACCUACUCCAUUCCUUAUUGGAAUCCUGUCUUGCUCCUUACCACAGCUCCAGGACCUACCCAUUGAAGAGGUGCUGAUAGUUGAUCUCUGUGCAGACAAGUUCUUACAGGAGGUAUCUGAUGAGGAUGAAAUUCUACCACCAAAACUUCAAGCUGCCCUGAUGCAGAUUUUGGAAGAACGAAAUGAAAUCUUGACUCAGGAGCAGAAUUUUUCACAAGAUGUGACACUCAACUCUCUGGUGUCUGAAGCAUUUGUCAGGUUUUUUGUGGAGUUGGUAGGACAUUAUUCUUUGAACAUGACUGUCACGGAGCGUGGGGAGCGUGUUUUCCAACGGGAACCAUUCCGUAAGUCUCACACCUCCCGAAGUGUACGCCACUUCCUGGAUCUCUUCAUGGAGACUCAGAUGUUUGCAGGAUUCAUCCAGGACCGAGAGCUCCGGAAAAGUGGAGUUAAAGGUUUGUUUGAGGUCCGGGCCAUCCAGUAUUUGGAAACAAUUCCUGAGUCAGAGCCCAGUGGGAUGAAUAGAAUUUUGCGGAGUCUUGGAAGUAAAAUGAAAUUUCUGCAGAAGAAAUGAAACCUCUGAUUGUCUCCAUCCUGAAUAUACAACAGAAAGUGCCAAAGAAAAUAUUUUUCCAAGGGUCAGGAUCCCAUGAAGUAUUCUACAAAAUUCUUGAAAUUUUAAAAGGUUAAAGAGCGAGUCAGGCUGUCGGAGGAGGAUUCUCCUGUUGCUGCUGUAGUAAUUACUGGAGAAUUGUUGGGAAUGGUCUGGAACCAAUGCCAUCUUUACUCUGUCUCCAUUUUUUUUUUUUUUAUUUUUAUAGCAGCCUUUUCUAUGUAAUUCUUGGGCUCAUUCUCUGUUUUGUGCUUCAUCUAUGAAAGUAGUUGUCUUUCACAAGGAAAAGUCUUGUUGUUACAUUUUUAAAAAUAGCUCAAAGAUGAGAAUAAGGAGAGAAAUGCUGAGUUUAACACAGUAGAGAGACACGAUGGAAAUGGAGAACACUGGCCUUAUACGCGUAAUUCUCAUCACUGAACUAUCAUGGCAGCUUUAAAUCCAUGGGCUGUUUGACCUGGGCAAAGGAAUAGACUCAUCACAUAUCUCCAUUAUUUUGUCUUAUAUUAUAUCUAGGGGAAUCUCAGGAGGAAGCCCUACUUGUAAUAUUAUAAAGUACUGUUAUUAAGUACCUUAUAAAAUUAGACAUCUUGCAACUCCUCCUCCAAAUUGUGUAGCAUUUGAGUAGCUUGCUUGUCCCUCACAUGUCAACAUUAAACUUUGUGGAGGCUGGAUCCAGUGGCUCACGCUUGUAAUCUCCACCACUUUGGGAGGCUAAGGCAGGAGUUUGAGGGUAGGAGUUUGAGACCAGCCUGGGCAACGUAGCAAGAUCCUAUCUCUACAAAAACAUUUUAAAAAUAAGUAAAUAAAUUUAAACUUUGUGGAAUUAUAACUAUUAUGAAAAUGUCCUCUCAAGGGCAUGGGAGCCACCUUUAUUUUUUAGUGUCCACCAUGUGCCAUGCACUGUGGUAUAUGUAUGCAUAUCAUCUCAACCAAUCCUUAAAUCAACCUUAUGGGAUAGAUAUUUACAUCUCCAUUUUACUAAUAAAGAAACUAAGGCUGGUGCUGGGAUUACAGGCAUGAGUCAGUGCACCGGGCCUGUUUGUUGUUGUUUUUUUUUUUCAAAUUAAUGGGCAAAUUCAAGUUCAGAUGGUGCACUUUUCAUUUAUUAAUGCUAUAGCAAAUGUCAGUUUGUUUUCUUCAGUUUCUGCUGAUGGUUUCAGCUGGCACAGAAAGUAUUUAUUCAACCUUACAAAACUGUUAAGUUGUAUUGUGAUACAGUUUAUUGACUUGUACAGUAUUUCAUUACAACCCAUUCAGGUAUGCAUGAACCUGAAGCAGAACACCAUUUAAGACUGGUGCUGUAUAAUAUAAUUCCUACAGAUGUGGGUCCAGGGAAUAGAACUGAGCCUUUUUUUAAAUGUUAAGCAGAUUACCCUAAUGGGGCUUCUACUAGACAUCUCUCCAUUUGGUCUCUUCUUACACUCCAACCCAGCGGGAACAGUUAAUAAUUGGAUGUUUAUAAAAUGGGGGUAAAAGGGUUUACUGUGAUGGAUCCUGGCUAUCCCUUUAGGAGGAGACCUUUGCUUCAGGAAUGCUGUCUUCGUCUUUGCAGCCUGAAGCUGCUUCAUUUCCUUAGGUCUGUUGUGUUUUGUUUCUGUAAAGUGUUAUGAAUUCUGGAUAUUUUUGUAAAAGAAUCAAGAUUUGUAUAAAAUGUUGUUUACAGAUCUUUUAAUGAAUAAAUACAUAAAAACCCCACAGA